CCGAUGUAGCUCAGUUGGCCAGAGCACGUGAUUUGUAAUCUCGGGGUCGUGGGUUCGAUUCCCUCCAUCGG
rnacentral:tRNA from 1 species